rnacentral:rRNA from 1 species
AACGUAGGAGACAAACGUUAUCCGGAGUUACUGGGCGUAAAGGGCGUGUAGGCGGUUGGUUAAGUCUGGCGUGAAAGCUCUCGGCUAAACCGGGAGAGGUCGUUGGAUACUGGCCGACUAGAGGACGGUAGAGGCGUGGGGAAUUCCGGGUGUAGUGGUGAAAUGCGUAGAGAUCCGGAGGAACACCAGUGGCGAAGGCGACACGCUGGGCCGUACCUGACACUGAUGCGCGACAGCAUGGGGAGCAAACAGG